GGAUGCUCCUUUGCUGUACGCAAUACGCAGCUGAUCGUGCUGGAUGACGAACUUAUCCCAGGCUUGAUCAAGAAGUCUGAUGCGGGUAGUGACGGCACUGGAUGUGAUGUUAGGAGCGCCCAUCUUCUUCAGGCACUUCACUCUCGUCUUCAAGAAUGUUCACACGC